AGUGAACGCUGGCGGUAGGCCUAACACAUGCAAGUCGAACGGCAGCACAGUAAGAGCUUGCUCUUACGGGUGGCGAGUGGCGGACGGGUGAGGAAUACAUCGGAAUCUACUUUUUCGUGGGGGAUAACGUAGGGAAACUUACGCUAAUACCGCAUACGACCUACGGGUGAAAGCAGGGGAUCUUCGGACCUUGCGCGAUUGAAUGAGCCGAUGUCGGAUUAGCUAGUUGGCGGGGUAAAGGCCCACCAAGGCGACGCUCCGUAGCUGGUCUGAGAGGAUGAUCAGCCACACUGGAACUGAGACACGGUCCAGACUCCUACGGGAGGCAGCAGUGGGGAAUAUUGGACAAUGGGCGGAAACCUGCUCCAGCCAUACCGCGUGUGUGAAGAAGGCCUUCGGGUUGUAAAGCCCUUUUGUUGGGAAAGAAAAGCAGCAGGUUAAUACCCCGCUCUUCUGACGGUACCCAAAGAAUAAGCACCGGCUAACUUCGUG
rnacentral:rRNA from 1 species